GACGAACGCUGGCGGCGUGCCUGAUACAUGCAAGUCGAACGCUUCUUUCCUCCCGAGUGCUUGCACUCAAUUGGAAAGAGGAGUGGCGGACGGGUGAGUAACACGUGGGUAACCUACCCAUCAGAGGGGGAUAACACUUGGAAACAGGUGCUAAUACCGCAUAACAGUUUAUGCCGCAUGGCAUAAGAGUGAAAGGCGCUUUCGGGUGUCGCUGAUGGAUGGACCCGCGGUGCAUUAGCUAGUUGGUGAGGUAACGGCUCACCAAGGCCACGAUGCAUAGCCGACCUGAGAGGGUGAUCGGCCACAUUGGAACUGAGACACGGUCCAAACUCCUACGGGAGGCAGCAGUGGGGAAUAUUGCACAAUGGGCGAAAGCCUGAUGCAGCAACGCCGCGUGAGCGAUGAAGGCCUUCGGGUCGUAAAGCUCUGUCCUCAAGGAAGAUAAUGACGGUACUUGAGGAGGAAGCCCCGGCUAACUACGUGCCAGCAGCCGCGGUAAUACGUAGGGGGCUAGCGUUAUCCGGAAUUACUGGGCGUAAAGGGUGCGUAGGCGGUCUUUCAAGCCAGAAGUGAAAGGCUACGGCUCAACCGUAGUAAGCUUUUGGAACUGUAGGACUUGAGUGCAGGAGAGGAGAGUGGAAUUCCUAGUGUAGCGGUGAAAUGCGUAGAUAUUAGGAGGAACACCAGUAGCGAAGGCGGCUCUCUGGACUGUAACUGACGCUGAGGCACGAAAGCGUGGGGAGCAAACAGG
rnacentral:rRNA from 1 species